AUUGAACGCUGGCGGCAGGCUUAACACAUGCAAGUCGAGCGAGCGGCGGACGGGUGAGUAAUGUCUGGGAAACUGCCUGAUGGAGGGGGAUAACUACUGGAAACGGUAGCUAAUACCGCAUCCCAUCAGAUGUGCCCAGAUGGGAUUAGCUAGUAAGUGGGGGAAUGGCUCACCUAGGCGACGAUCCCUAGCUGGUCUUAGAGGAUGACCAGCCAUAAUGGAAAUGAGACACGGUCCAGACGCCUACGGGAGGCAGCAGUGGGGAAUAGUGCACAAUGUGAGAAAGCCUGAUGCAGCCAUGCCGCGUGUGUGAAGAAGGCCUUCGGGUUGUAAAGCACGUUCAGCGAGGAGGCGUUACUCGCAGAAGAAGCACCGGCUAACUCCGUGCCAGCAGCCGCGGUAAUUC
rnacentral:rRNA from 1 species